ACUGCUAUUACGAUCAUAUUGCGAUUCGAUUUCUAUUCGAUUUUGACAUUAUUAACUUAGGAGAAUCGGGGCCCAGGGGAUUAAUUCUGCGAAUUUUACUUAAUCAACUUACGAUUGAUAUCCAACUAAGAUUCAGUCACGUCGCAUUCAGCAAUGUUUUGUUUUUAAUAAACGUUUUUAUCCUUUUCUGUGAUUCAAUCAUGCAUUUUAUUGUCCGCAAAUGAUUUACGAUUUUAGAGCAGACUAUCCUAUAAUCUAAAGGCAGACCAAUGGCAAUGCAAUGUCAUUGGAAAACGAUUGGUCUUAUAUUAGUAGCAGAAUUCCCGUUAAGGUUAAAACUGCUAUUGCGAUUAGAUUGUUGUCCAAUUGUCACAUUAGCCGAAUCGGGCAACUGAUUACGUACUGACGAGGGUAUAGUUAUAAUCUAUGGAUAUAAUAAUAUUAUGUCUAUGGAUAUUGACGUGACUUCCCGACGCGCGACGCUCGCGCUGCUGGUAGUUUCCCAACCAUAGAGUUAAUGGUGAUAAUAUUAAUUUCCUUAGAUAUCGCUUCAUUGCCUCAUUCUUGUUUCUUCUUCAUAAAAACACUGUAAAUAAAAUAUUUUUGGCCCAUCAUAGAGUCUUGAUAUGUAUAUACUAAGAAAUGUUCCUGCAAGAGAGACAAAACAAUUGUUUUUUGUCGUUCAUGUGGCUACUACUGCAAUGGAAGAAUUCGCCUGAUAUGUGAAAAGCAUCCUCGCGUAACGUUCCUCUUGGAUAUAGCAGAAUG